rnacentral:misc_RNA from 1 species
AACCGAUCGAUCCGAGCAAGCAAAUGAUGAUAUGGGCACAGGUCGCUCCUAUGAGUGUGUUUUUUGCAAGAGAGGCUUCACUACUGCACAGGCUUUGGGUGGACAUAUGAAUAUUCAUAGGAAAGAUAGAGCCAAGCCAAGGCCUAGCUCAGUCAUUCCUUCAAUUUCCAGCAAAGUUGAUGACGAUUAUUAUGCAAGUUUAAGAGGCUAUCCACCAAUUCAGAGCUACCCACCUCACUAUUCCACCGCUCAUCAUCACCAUCAUGAGGUACUUAGAAAUUAUCAAACAUUUUUUCCAGCAGCGUCUACAUGGGAUUUUAGACCCCCACAUAGCGACGAUUUGUAUGUGCAAAGCCCUCAGCUUUUGAAUCCUUUCGAGGAGGAUUGGCGAAGGAGUCUAAGCCUGCAAAUUGGUCCAUCCCAUGUAGAUGAUAAUAAAGGAAAAACAGAAGACGGCAGCGAAGCAGACGAGUUAGAUUUGGAGCUGAGACUUGGUCAUGAUCCAUAGUAUUUAUUAUUCUAUCAGGUAUUUGAUGAGGAACUUGCAUAUAUGUUAAUUAUAUAUAUAGCUGUAUUUGAUAUAUUAUUGUACAGCUAUGGAUUUUUCGAUGCUUCAAAAAAAUGGGGGAAAAUGUGGAAAAUUAUUAUGUUGCUUAAUUUAUAAGUGUAUUUUGGCAUAUCUUUUUGGGGCAAUUCUGCUGGGAAGACGUAUAUGGUAGGAGAGGGAAGUUUUCCACUUGUACGUUCAGGAAGAAAGACAAUAAAUUAUAAUAAAAAUUCCUAGUUAAAUUGCG